rnacentral:rRNA from 1 species
UGGGGAAUAUUGCACAAUGGACGGAAGUUUGAUGCAGCAACGCCGCGUGGAGGGUGUAGGCCUUCGGGUUGUGAACUCCUUUUUCUCGCGAAAAAGGCACAGUUUUGGCUGUGUUGAUGGUAGUGGGGGAAGAAGCGCCGGCUAACUUCGUGCCAGCAGCCGCGGUAAUACGUAGGGCGCGAGCGUUGUCCGGAUUUAUUGGGCGUAAAGAGCUCGUAGGUGGUUCGUCGCGUCUGUCGUGAAAGCCAGCAGCUUAACUGUUGGUCUGCGGUGGGUACGGGCGGGCUUGAGUGCGGUAGGGGUGACUGGAAUUCCUGGUGUAGCGGUGGAAUGCGCAGAUAUCAGGAGGAACACCGAUGGCGAAGGCAGGUCACUGGGCCGUUACUGACACUGAGGAGCGAAAGCGUGGGGAGCGAACAGG